GAAAUUAAAAAUAAAAAUCGACCUAUUUCGGUAUUUUUCUUUAAAGUCGCCGGUUUACGAAAUAAUGAAUUUAUGCGUUACUUUAUGGACGCACUGUAGAACCAGAACAGUCUACACGUUUGUACUAAAGAAACAUGUAAAAAAUUGAUGAUAUUUGACUCUGAUUUACUUAAUGGGCAUUAGGGGGGAAAUAUUAGCCAAUAUGAAGAAUAAAAGCUGUGAUUGUGAUAGGUCAUAACUUCCCAGUGACUGAAGAAAUAUUAAAUUCCAUGGAGUUUUUUGGUGUCUACUGAUAGGAUUAAUAGGAUAGCAUCAAAUGGAUGACGAAUAAUACGGGACAUCGCUGAAGCCACUAAUAGACAGGUUACACAUUAAAAGUGGUAUCUUGAAAAAAAGUUAAAUCUAACAGCAAGUACUUUUGGACAAAUCGUCUCAUAUGCAAAGGAAACAGGUCUCCACAUAGUUUGUUAAAAAGCCUUGUUGUAGGUGAAUACAAUGUUGAUUAGGUAUAUAAAAACCAUUCAUUGGGCAGAAUCCAUAGAAAAUAUGCAUAGGCCCAUGGAGCACCUAAGACAAAAUUAUAGUUUUAAUUUAUGGCUAACAGAUUCGAGACUCCUUGGUAGUCCUGAUGGAAUUAUUGAAGAAGAAUUAUGUUGUGUUAGCGAUUAUGAUGAAUUUUGUAGCUUAUGAUCUUUAUGUAAGUAAAAAAGUACGGACUGCUACAUGUUAUAUAUAGAAAAUACUAAGGAAUCACUGAAUUACGAUAUAAAAUCUGUUUAGAAUGUGGUUAAUUGUAAGAGAAAUAAUUUUAAUAUUCCAUGUUAUAAGUUUAACACUUUAUUUGCGGAUGGUUUUCAUGUGAGCCACAUAGUGCCACCAUCAAUGUGCAUUGGAUAUAUAUGAACUUCUAAGACGAAAAUAAUUUCAGUUGAGAGUAUAAGUCUUAACUCAUUUUAUCCACACUCAAUGUUAAUGAUUCUGUUUUUAGUGAGCCACAAUCAAUUGUUGAUGCUUUUGCCAAUUUCUUCAGCAGUGUCCAUAAUGCUUCUUUUUCCUGUCCAGACCAGAGCAGUCAUAGUCCCAAUAUCACUCAUAGUGAUAGUGAUAUUCACACUUAACUAUUAAAAUUUGUGACAUUCUAUCAUGUUUACAGUGUCUUAAUGCCAAUAAAGGUCCUGAUACAUAUAGAACAUCUAAUUUGUUUAGAUUUCUGAUGUACUGUUCUUUUAAAUUGUGUAAGCCAUAUUUUUAUUCUGGUAUGAUCAAUUUAUUGAAUCUAGAUUAUCUUCUUGUCAGAAGAGUUAACUUUGACUUCAUAUUUAUUUUUAAGCUUGUAAAUGAGAUAAUCCAAUCUUCUGAAAUGCUUCAGCUAAUUUGUUAUAUUUCUUUCCGUUCACUGUGCCACAAUUCACUUUUCUCUGUUCCUUAUCGCAGAACUAAUUAUGGUUCUAAUACAGGUAUGAUAUGGUCUGACCACUAUGCAUGCAAAUCAGUUACCUCAUAAUUGUUUAGGUUAUGUAUCAAUUGCCUUAGGAAUUUAUUUAUUGUAUUUGAAUCAGUCAUUGCGAAAACAAUCUUAGUCCAUAUUUUGGGUAAAAUGACGAUGCUUUUUGACGCCAUGAAAUUUACAUUUAAACAUAUAAACAUUUAAACUUUUUUUGCCUUUUAGAAAGAUUCAUUCAUAACCCAUAAUACUUAUAUAAAAUAUAGUAUUAUCUAGGAAUAUCCAACUAAUGAAAAGAUUUUUACGUUUCCUGAAAAAUUUACACAUUGUAACAUGUAUUGUUUUCGCAAUGACCGAAUCAUUUAUGUAUUUCUAAUUUUAUAAAUAUAUUGUAUAUAUUUUAAUGCUGAAUUCUUAUAUAAUUUUGACAGUGAUUUUGUCUCAUUUGUUAGUAAUAAAUACCUACAUAUCAAUUAAUUACCUAAUGUAUUAAUGUAAUAUGUAAUAAAAGUUCCUUUAAAAA
rnacentral:lncRNA from 1 species